rnacentral:lncRNA from 1 species
CAGCUUCAGGGGAGAGAGCACAUUAAGGGUGCUGGGAUGGUAAUGGUUGAGAGGAAGCUGAAUGGUAGUAAGAGAGACAUUCUGUCCUGAGAACUCUGAUCCACUUGAUGCAGAUGAGCAGGUAACCAUGGAAGUCGUGAGCUGAGGCUGCAGAGUCUAGAGCCAGAGUGUGGAAUAAACUUGGGUCUCAAAUCACCCCUGGAGCAAAGCCCCCAUCUAAUCAGGAACUUCUACUUUCAACUUUACAUGCGUGAGAAAUGAACUUCUAUCAUGUUAGAGAAAUCCUUACACGGCGCCCUUGAGAGCUUUCAUACUGCAAGUCAUCCAUUUUCCUCCCCUCAAACCUGGCAUCGGUGUUUAUUGAAACAAAGCAAAAUAAAACAAAUAGACAAAGCUCUACCU